GCCCGCCUAGCUCAAUCGGAUAGAGCGUCAGACUCUUAAACUCUUAACCUCUCUGGUUGUUUAAAUUUCUGUUGUGGGGUAUCUGAAGGCUGCGAGUUCGACCCUCGCGGUGGGCU